AGUGUUUGCUUCUACAGCACAUACACUGAAAAAAAAAAUUGGAAUGAUACAGAGAAGAUGAACGUGGUCCCGGCAUAAGGAUAACACGCAGAUUUACUAAGCAUUCCAUAUGAAA
ensembl:snRNA U6 U6 spliceosomal RNA